rnacentral:rRNA from 1 species
AGUGAACGCUGGCGGCAGGCCUAACACAUGCAAGUCGAACGGCAGCACAGCAGUAGCAAUACUGUGGGUGGCGAGUGGCGGACGGGUGAGGAAUACAUCGGAAUCUGCCUUAUCGUGGGG